GCCGGGUUACGCGCCGACGUCUGGCUGCCACGACUUGCCGUCUGCGGCGGCGGCGGCGGCGGCGAGAGGAUCCCGCAGGGGAAGGAGGAGGAGGAGGGAGAGCCAAGGGGGCUGAGAGAACUCCAAGGUGGCCUGCCUAGAAGUCCCAGGGUCCCUCAACGGGCACACAAAUAUGGUUAUCCAGCUGCAGCUAUAGGCAAUAAGGCAGCCUACAAGCUCCAACAGCAUCUUUCUUCCUUUUCUCUUUACAGAUAUGGACAAGGUCUCCCAGCCUCCCAGCCCACCCUUCCAGAACUGGAGAGAGCAGAGUGUCCUCAGGAAAGUUCUUCUGCUUCUGCCUCCUCACAUCCCAGGGCUGUUUAACUUCAGCGUCUCAAAAACAAGAUUCAUGGGCUGGAGUGGUGGCUCAAUGGUAGAGCGCUUGCCUAGCAUGUGUGAGGCACUGGGUUUGAUCCUCAGCAACACAUAAAAAAAUAAAUAAAUAAAAUAAAG
rnacentral:lncRNA from 1 species